rnacentral:rRNA from 1 species
AUUGAACGCUGGCGGCAUGCCUUACACAUGCAAGUCGAACGGCAGCAUGGAGGAGCUUGCUCCUCUGAUGGCGAGUGGCGAACGGGUGAGUAAAGCAUCGGAACGUACCGUGUAGUGGGGGAUAACGUAGCGAAAGUUACGCUAAUACCGCAUACGCACUGAGGUGGAAAGCAGGGGAUCGCAAGACCUUGCGCUAUACGAGCGGCCGAUGUCAGAUUAGCUAGUUGGUAGGGUAAAGGCCUACCAAGGCGACGAUCUGUAGCGGGUCUGAGAGGAUGAUCCGCCACACUGGGACUGAGACACGGCCCAGACUCCUACGGGAGGCAGCAGUGGGGAAUUUUGGACAAUGGGGGAAACCCUGAUCCAGCCAUGCCGCGUGAGUGAAGAAGGCCUUCGGGUUGUAAAGCUCUUUCGGCUGGGAAGAAAUCGCACAGGCUAAUACUCUGUGUGGACGACGGUACCAGCAUAAGAAGCACCGGCUAACUACGUGCCAGCAGCCGCCGUAAGAC